GGCUAGGUAGCUCAAUAGGUAGAGCACCUGGUAUAUAUUCAGGAGACCUGGGUUCAAACCCCAGUCUGGUCA